UUGAAGGCGAGUUUGAUCGCGCCUGUGAUUGAACGCUGGCGGCAGGCCUAACACAUGCAAAAGUCGAACGGUAACAGGAAGCAGCUUGCUUCGCUGACGAGUGGCGGACGGGUGAGUAAUGUCUGGGAAAACUGCCCGAUGGAGGGGAUAACUACUUCGGAAACGGUGGCUAAUACCGCAUAACGCCGCAAGACCAAAGAGGUAUCCUUCGGGCCUCGCCAUCAGAUGUACCCAGAUGUAUCAGCUUUUGUUGGUGAGGUAACGGCUCACCAAGCACGAUCCCUAGCUGGUCUGGAGAGGAUGACCAGCCACACUGGAACUGAGACACGGUCCAGACUCCUACUACGGGAGGCAGCAGGGGAAUAUUGCAUCAAUGGGCGCAAGCCUGAUGCGUUUCGCCGCGUAAAGCGGUGCCAGAAGGCCUUCGGGUUGUAAAGUACUUUCAGCGGGGAGGAAGGUGUUGUGGUUAAUAACCGCAGUAAUUGACGCAGCCACCUGCAGAAGAAGCACCGGCUAACCUCGCCAGCCGCGGUAAUACGGAGGGUGCAAGCGUUAAUCGGAAUUACUGGGCGUAAAGCGCACGCAGGCGGUCUGUCAAGUCGGAUGUGAAAUCCCCGGCUCAACCUGGAACUGCAUUCGAAACUGCAAGCAGGCUUGAGUCUUGGUAGAGGGGUAGAAUUCCGUGCGUAGCGUGAAAUGCGCGAGAUUCCGGAGGAAUACCUGGCGAAGGCGGCCCCUCGACAAAGACUGACGCUCAGGUGCGAAAGCGCGUGUGAGCAAAACAGAGUUUCGAUACCGGUAGUCCACGCCGUAAACGAUGCGUCUACUUCUGGAGGUUGUGCCCUUGAGGCGUGGCUUCCGGAGCUAACGCGUUGCGCAGACCGCCUGGGGAGUACGGCCGCAAGGUUAAAACUCAAAUGAAUUGACGGGCCCCGCACGCGGUGGAGCAUGUGUGGUUUUAAUUCGGAUGCAACGCGAAGAACCUUACCCCGUCUUGACAUCCACAGAACUCUUCCAGAGAUGGACUGGUGCCUUCGGGAACUGUGAGACAGGUGCCGUACGCGGCUGUCGUCAGCUCGUGUUGUGAAAUGUUAAUAAGUCCCGCAACGAGCGCAACCCUAUCCUUGCUGCCAGCGGUUAGGCCGAAACUGCGCGAGACUGCCAGUGAUAAACCGGAGGAAGGUGGGAUGACGUCAGCUCAUCAUGGCCCCUUUACGACUCGUGGCCACGUGCUACAAUGGCGGCAUACAAAGAGAAGCGACUGCGAGAGCAAGGGAUCCUCAUAAAGUGCGUCGUAGUCCGAUUGAGUUCGCAACUGACCCAUGAAGUCGGAAAUCGCUGCAAUCGUGGAUCAGAAUGCCACGGUGAAUACGUUCCCGCCCAGGCCAUCACCGCCCGCCACCAUGGGAGUGGUUGCAAAGAAGUAGCUUAACCUUCGGGAGUGGGCGCUUACCACUUUGUGAUUCAUGAUCAAAGUGAAGUCGUACCAGGCGCAACCGUAGGGGAAAUCCCGUUGGUUGAUCACCUCCUUA
rnacentral:rRNA from 1 species